UCAUUAUCCGUAACCCUGCUUACCCUAUUAUGACAAUACUAUUCUGAUCAUAACUUCCUCAUUCCCUAACCUUAAUUUCGAUUUGGCUAGCUUCAUCUUCUUCCCCUUCUCAUCAGUAGGAGGCUUCACUCAAUCUUUUGGCUUCAUCUACAAUCCAACUUGUGGCUUCAUCUCUUCUAACUCAUAUUUCGGUCCAAACGUACGUAUGAAGAGUAUUUGAACUCUUUGCAAAAUGAAGUGGGAGCCCAUCAAAAUGCUUUUAACUUCGACAUUGAAGAAAAUGAUGAAGAUGAUGUCAUGUGUAGGCAGAAAGUAAUAAACUUCAAUUACACUUCAAUCCGGCCCUUGUGCCUAUUCAGGAAGGCUUGAAUGAUGAACAAGUUGGUGAAAGGUUAAGAUGGUAUAAACGAUGUCUGAGGAUGAAAUAUAUCAAUGAACAAACAACAAAGGAGGAUUUAUAUAACUUACCAUCGGCAGAUGAAGGAAAAGAAAACGAGCUUACUCGUCCAAAAGAAGUAGGUGAUGCAAUGUAACAUGAAUUUGUGGAUUGGUGUUUUUCAGAUAAGUUCAAGGUAAUAGUUUACACAUUUACUAAUAAAGUUUACACAUUUAUUUGUUGAAUAAUGAACUUAAUUCUAUACAUUUGUUGAUAGAAAUAAUCUAAAGUUGGAAAGUGUUUCUAGCAGGCAUUGGAUUUGAGAAUUGAAAUGUCUCAGGAAUUGAAAUUUGUCCCAUCUUAAGGUUUUUGCUGUAGAAACUAUUGAUUUAGUAUUCUCAGCAUGAACCUCUAUAAAAAUAGUUUCUUCUUUUGAAGAGGCCUCAUGUAUAAAUUUUGGAUUAACGGUGGAACUCAUUAAUCUAAAAUAAAUACGAAAAACAAUUGCAAAAUUUCUAUCAAACUCUUUAAAUUUAUUAUUUAAAAUUUGAAUAUCUAAAAUUAAUGAAGAUAUAAUUAAUGGAUCUUGAAGAUCCAGUGUAAAAUUUGGGAGACAAUUGAAAUAUAUCGGGUCAUUACAAAUAUUUGUUUGAACCAUAACCAAAACAAAAUCUUUAUAAUUAUUAAGUCGAUCGUCUCUAAGGGCUAGGAAAAUUUGACAAUCAACUCCUUUAUGAACUAAUGGUUUAUUUCUAUUUGAACAAGGCCAAAAUGAAUGAAUCUAAAUUUGUGUUUGAGAUAUGCUUUGCUGCUAGACUCUGAAAGUAAAUGCAUAGUUUCAGAUUCUUUUUGAAUGCUUCUAGUUUUUCAUGGGUUUUGAUGCUAAAUGCAGUCUUAAAAUCAGUAAUGCCUACAUGAUAAAUUUUUAUAAGAUUUUCUUUUGGAAUUUUCUAAUUUGAAGAAUCUUUUUCUUCAUGAAUUUCACUAGUUUGAAUUAUAUUAUUGGAUGAUCCUAAACUAAUGGCUUUUCUUAACCAAUUUGCCAUUAAUAAAUUAAAUGAUGCAUUAACUAAAUAUGUCUGAGUUGAAGGGGAACAGUGGGACCACCUAAUUGGGAACACCAACACUCAAAUGGCUUACCAACAACUUAAUUAUUGAGGAAUUUUCCUAGCCCUACUGAAACACAAAACUAUGGUUUUGGGCGAAACAUCAACUUCAAAAACCAAGAAAGUAUUCCAGUUCCACAAAUUAAACCUUCAAUAUUUCAAAAUUAUUAGUGUUGGUUAGCCAUUAGAGUGUUGGUGUUCCCAAUUAGGUGGUCCCACUGUUCCCAUUCAACUCAGACAUAUUUAGUUAAUGCAUCAUUUAAUUUAUUAAUGGCAAAUUGGUUAAGAAAAGCCAUUAGUGUAGAAUCAUCCAAUAAUAUAAUUCAAACUAGUGAAAUUCAUGUAGAAAAAGACUUUUCAAAUUGGGAAAUUCCAAAAGAAAAUCCUACAAAAGUUUUAUCAUGUAGGCAUUAUUGAUUUUAAGACUGCAUUUAGUAUCAAAACCCAUGAAGAAACUAGAAACAUUCAAAAAGAAUCUGAACUAUACAUUUACUUUCAGAGUCCAACAUUAAAGCAUAUCUCAAACACAAAUUUAGAUUCAUUUAUUUUAGCCUUGUUCAAAUAGGAAUAAAACCAUUAGUUCAUAAAGGAGUUGAUUGUCCAAUUUUGCUAGCCCUUAGAGACGAUUGACUUAAUAGUUAUAAAGAUUCUGUUUUGGCUAUGGUUCAAACUAAUAUUUGUAAUAGCCCGAUAUAUUUCAAUUAUUUCCCAAAUUUUACAGUAGAUCUUGAAGAUCCGUUAAUUUUAGAUAUUCAAAUUUUAAAUAAUAAAUUUAAAGAGUUUGCUAGAAAUUUUGCAAUUGUUUUUCGUAUUUAUUUUAGAUUAAUGAGUUCCACCGUUAAUCCAAAAUUUAUACAUGAGGCUUCUUCAAUAGAGGAAACUAUUUUGAUAGAGGUUCAUGCUGAGAAUACUAAAUCAAUAGUUUCCACAGAGACAUCAUAAUGCCAAGGAAGAAGAAUCAGCAAGAAAAACUCAAAGGGUUCCAAAGUUCAAAUGCUUACGAAAUGGAACCAGAUCCAAAACCAAACAAGACAGAACAAAAUCAAUUGACAUCCUCAAACUACUCUAUCCAUUUCAAAGAAAUUUACUCAACUAAGUAAUUUUCCCCCACUUCCAUGUUCAAAAAUUGUUCAAGAGCCUACUUCACAAGAUAUUAUUCCGAACUCAAAAGAAAAAGAACCAAUUACAAAAACACCGACAAAAGGCUUUACCAAAUCUGCAUACAUUACAAAAACCGAAGUAGAAAAUGUAUAUCUCACUAACUUAACAAUUCCUCAAAGUCCACAAAUUAUUCAUUCGAUCAAUCAGAAAACUUCUCAAAAGGUUGCGAAUGGAUACCAGAAAAUCAUUUUAAAAUCAAAGGUUUUAUGAAUUUAUUUUAGUAGAUUAAAACUCUGUUGAAAUCCAACAUAUCAAGGAUUCUUUAGAAAAAAUAAUUUAUUGAAAAUGUAUUUUUAAGAAAAUUAUUUCUUCUGCAAAAUGGGGAGACUCUUAUGCAAAACGCAUUUUUUCAAAAAGAUUUUCCCCACAAAAAUUACUUAUACUAUGAUUACAAAAUGGCCUGGUAUAGAGCAUUUUUAUUCAGACUGUUUAAUUAUUCAUGGUUUUUUAUAUUUAACAAAUAUUGUCCAAAGAAAUAUCCCAUGUGGUUUUAUCAUUGGUGGUAUUUAUUUGGAUCAACUCCUCAAAUUUAUCCAAAAGAAUGCAAUGAGGGUUUCACAACUUUUGUUGCCAAUUCAAAUAAUCAAGUCAACGAAACUCCAGUCAUGUUUCAUGCAGAAUUUAAAAUUCCAUGGAUUCUAUGUUGGAGUUACUGUCUCAAACAACACCUUCCAUAUCCAUAUCCAUAUUCAUUAAUAAGAGAAUUCAAAAUUAAAUGGUGGGACAAAUAUACCUGAGAAAUGUUCUACAAAAAAUGUUAUCUCCUUUUUUAAACUAGUAUAAAAAUGGAAUAUCAGUCCCUAUCAACCUUAAACAAACCUUCACCCUCAAAAGCAACAUCAAGUUUAAACUCUCCUCAAUACAAUAAAAACCCCAAAGUAGAAAGUCUAGAUUCAUUAUCCAAAGCCUAGAAAGCCAUCCUCAAAAGAAUUUAUGAAGAUCCACAGUAUGCAAAGAAAUUAUUAUCUGAAGAUUCUUUUGAUGAGAUAUUAUUUGAGUUUUUAAACGAGUCUUAUGAUCCAAUAUUUGGUGGCCCAUGUGCUCAAGAUCCAUAUGACUUUUAAUAUUGGGCUUACAAAGGUUCAAUUCAAAAAUAAGUCCAUCAACUCAAAAUAAUUCAUCCAGAAGCACAAACGUAACCAUUGACAUAUUCAAAGGCAUCUUCAAUAGUAAUUCAACUAAUUCAAAGCAUCUUCUACAACAUUAUAGUGUAACUUUAAUAAUUAUGUUUGUACUAUUUAUCUUUGCCUUUAGUUUCUUAUUGGAAGAGCAGAUUACAUCUUAUCUCUUCCUUGAUGUAUAAAUUAAGUGUUUAGUUUUCGUUUAAAGAGCAUCUUGUAAUAUUCUUUUGCUUAAGUCUUAGCUCAAAAAUAAAAACAUACCUCCUUCUGUACUUAUCUUUCCAUUAUCAAUAAUAUUGUAAGAUUUUACUCUCUAAAUAUGUUUUAUUUCUCAAUUUUAUUAUAUUACAAUCGAAAAUGUUGAUGAAAAAGUUGUAAGCAUUGUUGGUGAAAGGUUAAGAUGGUAUAAACGUUGUCUGAGGAUGCAAUAUAUCAAUGAACAAACAACAAAGGACGAUUUAUAUAACUUACCAUCGGCAAAUGAAGGACAAGAAAACGAGCUUACUCGUCCGAAAGGAGUAGGUGAUGCAAUGUGCAUGAAUUUGUGGAUUGGUGUUUUUCUGAUAAGUUCAAGAAAUAAUCAGAAGUUUGAAAGAACGCUAGAGGAUUGGUCUUGCAUACCCAUACUUGUGGCACGGCCACUAAUGCAGUUACACGGCAACACGAGAUGGCACUGAAGGCAGAACUUUUGUGUUCACGAAAAGUCUUAAUUCGAACUCGAACUUCUCAUUCAUACAACAUGGACACUAAUUGUAAGACCCUGCUUCUAAACUUUUUUCUGUUAAUUAAUUGAUUUAUUGCAUGAGCUAAAUUAAAUUAAUAUAAAUUAAAUUAACUAUCUGUUGGUGAAUUAUACUAGAUGUUGUGUUUGUCACAAAUUUUGCUAAUAUAAAUUAAAUUAGAUCAAACAGAUAGCUCAUAUUUUAUAAAUUAAACAGAUAGCUAAAACGUCUAGUAUAAUGCACAUAUUUUAUUAAUUAAAUUAACAAAUAGCUCAUGAAUUUGUCACAAUAUAUAUAAAUUAAAUUAACUUUUCGGGUUGGUGAAUGUUGUGUUUCACUAUCCUGACAAAAAACUUUUUGUUAGUGAAAAUAUUUGACUAAAUUAGUUGAUUUAUUGGUGCUGAAAGUUGUAAACUUCAAGGAUUUGAGAUUGUGGGUGGCUUUUUUUUUUUACAAUUAUCUUUAAAAAUCACAUUUACUGGAUUAAAUAUGGGUUGUUUGGUUAGUGGGUAGGUGAAGCCCUAGAGAAUGAUGAUUUUCUAUGAUUGUUGGUAUGAUUAAUUUGAACAAUUGAGGUUAAAGAUCAUUUGGGCAAAUGCCCAUGAGUUCCUGAGCACAUGAUAUGAUAUGGAGAGAGUAGGAAAUCGGUAAAUGUUAAUGGUGGAAGAAAAAAUCUUUAAAACUGAAGGUAAUUAUAGGUUUGAUUAUUGUAUGCUUGUUUAUUGGAUCAAAGAAUCUGAUAAAUGAAUUUUAUAAUUGUUAUGUUUACGUUUUUCAUGAAUUUAUGAUUUAGUUUUUUGUCAGUAAAGUGAAACACAACAAUCACUAACGUACACUUUUUUCUGUCAAACACAACAAGUUCAUGAGCGUUGCAUAAACAGAGCUAGCUAGGCACCUUGCUAUUUUGUUUCUGUUAGUCGUAAUGGGUAUUAUACUAGAUGUUUGCUUUGGAUCUGCUAUAGACUGGCUAAGUAGCCUGUAAACCGAAGCAUGUACUUCAGUUUCUGCUGCCUGCCCCUGCUGUCCACCGUGCCAUCUGCUGGUAUAUCGGAAUCAGCCACACGCACAGUGCUGCUGCCUCCUGUUUUCCACCCGCUUCCAUCAUUCGCAGUUGUGCUGGGUUUUGUGCAAUGUUGCUGUAAAUCUGCCGGUUCAAUUUGGAUCACACGAAGCCCCUUUCUCAGCCCUCGUUUCUGCCUCUGGCGCUGCUGUACUGGGAUGUUUCAACAGCUACAGCCCACCCUUGAGCUUGCUGGUGGUGCUGCAGUAGCUGCUGGUGUUUGCUGCAGUAGCUUCUGGACGAUGUGCAGCCAUUGAUUGAAGCUGAGUCAACGUGCAGGUGCAGGUGCUGCUGCCAACGUGCUGGUGCAACCUCCUACUCCAUAUGUAGAGGUUGCCCUCUGAUCCUCAAUGCUCCAUAUGUUUGUAUCCUAUUAAUGUAAUUAAUUGCUUGGAUAGUUUUUGGUUCAAUUUGUUUGUAUUAAUUGAUUUUGUUAUAUAUUGAUUAUGUUGGUGAUUGAUGGAAAAAUCGUUUGCCAAAACAAUAAUAAUAAUAAUAAUAAUAAUAAUGAUAAUAAUAAUAAUAAUAAUAAUAAUAAUAAUAAUAAUAAUAAUAAUAAUAAUAAUAAUAAUAAUAAUGUUGGGAAAACCUUAAAUGGUUACUUUGAAGACUUUCAGUUUGAGGUAGACACACAAAAGAGUAGUGAAGCCAUCCUUCAUUCUGUUAACAGGCUUAUCGAAUGCAAAGGUGAUGUAAUUGGCCUCUAUGCUUUUGGUGGAUUUCGAAAACGCUUUCAAUCUUGUUGAUAGGAGUGUCAUGUUGUGUGAAACAAGGAUCCAGUACCCUUUUCUCGCUCCUUGGAUUGAAUUCUGCUACUCCAAACCUGCUAAGUUAUACUAUGGUGAAUCUAUUAUUUGGUCUUGCCAAGGUGUCCAAUAAGGUGAUCCCUUAGGCCGUCUGCUUUUUGCCCUUAUUUUGCACCAUUUGGUAUCAUGUCAACUCAAUCUUCAGGCUUGAUAUCUUGAUGAUGGUACUAUUAUUGGUGACACCCUUAUAGUUGCCAAGGUCUUACACAUUAUUAAGGAGGAUGGUCCAUCUCGUGGUUUGAUUGUCAAUGUGGAUAAGACUGAUCCUACCUCAUGCGGAGUAGAGAGCAUGGAGUCUUCCCCCCAACAUCUCUCGCCCUCAUGCGGAGAUAAAACUUCUUGGCGAACCUGUGAGUACAGAUCCUACCUUUUGCCGCGAAUUUUCCCUAAAGAGAGUUUCCAAAACCAUUGAGCUCAUGACAGCUGUUAGCAAACUCCACGACCCUCAAUUUGAACUUCUCCUUCUCCGUAACUGUGCAGGGGUUGGUAGGCUAUCUUAUGCGCUAAGGACUUGUCCUUCAAAUUCGUUUGUGGAUGCACAUGUUAAGUUUGAUCUUGCUUUGCUUGCUUCCUUGGAGAAUAUUAUUACGACCUCGGGACCGGGGUUUG